CUAUCAGACUUCAAAAGCUAUAAAAAUGAAAAUUUCCUAUGUUUUAAUAUCACUAAUCUGCGUAAAUGUUUUGGCUGAUAUAAGUAUAAUGGAAUAUAUAGAGAUGGUUGAAAUUUCAA